GGGCACAUGGUGUAGUUGGUUAUCACGCCGCUUAGCACCAUAUUAAGGUUUCUGCGGGCGGUGCCCGGUUCAAUUCCGGGUGUGUCCA